rnacentral:rRNA from 1 species
UACGUAGGGGGCAAGCGUUGUCCGGAAUCAUUGGGCGUAAAGAGCGUGUAGGCGGCUCGAUAAGUCCGCUCUGAAAGCCCGGGGCUCAACCCCGGGAGGCGGGCGGAUACUGUCGAGCUAGAGUCCGGAAGAGGCGAGUGGAAUUCCUGGUGUAGCGGUGAAAUGCGCAGAUAUCAGGAGGAACACCUGUGGUGUAGACAGCUUACUGGACCAUUUCUGACGCUGAGACACGAAAGCGUGGGUAGCAAACAGG